rnacentral:rRNA from 1 species
GACGAACGCUGGCGGCGUGCCUAAUACAUGCAAGUAGAACGCUGAAGGAGGAGCUUGCUUCUCUGGAUGAGUUGCGAACGGGUGAGUAACGCGUAGGUAACCUGCCUGGUAGUGGGGGAUAACUAUUGGAAACGAUAGCUAAUACCGCAUAAUAGCAGUUGUUGCAUGAUAACUGUUUGAAAGGUGCAAUUGCACCGCUACCAGAUGGACCUGCGUUGUAUUAGCUAGUUGGUGGGGUAACGGCUCACCAAGGCGACGAUACAUAGCCGACCUGAGAGGGGGAUCGGCCACACUGGGACUGAGACACGGCCCAGACUCCUACGGGAGGCAGCAGUAGGGAAUCUUCGGCAAUGGACGGAAGUCUGACCGAGCAACGCCGCGGGAGGGAAGAAGGGUUUCGGAUCGUAAAGCUCUGUUGUAAGAGAAGAACGAGUGUGAGAGUGGAAAGUUCACACUGUGACGGUAUCUUACCAGAAAGGGACGGCUAACUACGUG